rnacentral:misc_RNA from 1 species
CAACCCUCAGGUCCUCGCGCCUGGUGUUGGGGCCCUGCGCGGCAGGCCCCGAAAGACAGCGGCGGGCGCGUCCCGGAACCGAACGCAGUAGAUGCCUCUCGUUCCGGCCCAGGGCGCGCGCCAGCCGUAAAACCCCUUGCAAGGAGCCUCA